CUUGUUUUUAAAAGACCUAGCAAUAGGUAUGCUUAGGGAGGAGCUUGCGUCACAUUAGUUAGUUGGUGGGGUAAAGGCCUACCAAGACUAUGAUGUGUAGCCGGGCUGAGAGGUUGAACGGCCACAUUGGGACUGAGACACGGCCCAAACUCCUACGGGAGGCAGCAGUAGGGAAUUUUCGGCAAUGGAGGAAACUCUGACCGAGCAACGCCGCGUGAACGAUGAAGUAUUUCGGUACGUAAAGUUCUUUUAUUAGGGAAGAAUAAAUGAUGGAAAAAUCAUUCUGACGGUACCUAAUGAAUAAGCCCCGGCUAACUAUGUGCCAGCAGCCGCGGUAAUACAUAGGGGGCAAGCGUUAUCCGGAAUUAUUGGGCGUAAAGGGUGCGUAGGCGGUUAAAUAAGUUUAUGGUCUAAGUGCAAUGCUCAACAUUGUGAUGCUAUAAAAACUGUUUAGCUAGAGUAAGAUAGAGGCAAGUGGAAUUCCAUGUGUAGUGGUAAAAUGCGUAAAUAUAUGGAGGAACACCAGUAGCGAAGGCGGCUUGCUGGGUCUUUACUGACGCUGAGGCACGAAAGCGUGGGGAGCAAACAGGAUUAGAUACCCUGGUAGUCCACGCCGUAAACGAUGAGUACUAAACGUUGGGUAAAACCAGUGUUGAAGUUAACACAUUAAGUACUCCGCCUGAGUAGUACGUACGCAAGUAUGAAACUUAAAGGAAUUGACGGGACUCCGCACAAGCGGUGGAUCAUGUUGUUUAAUUCGAAGGUACCCGAAAAACCUCACCAGGUCUUGACAUGCUUCUGCAAAGCUGUAGAAACACAGUGGAGGUUAUCAGUUGCACAGGUGGUGCAUGGUUGUCGUCAGCUCGUGUCGUGAGAUGUUGGGUUAAGUCCCGCAACGAGCGCAACCCUUAUUGUUAGUUACCAGCACGUAAUGGUGGGGACUUUAGCAAGACUGCCAGUGAUAAAUUGGAGGAAGGUGGGGACGACGUCAAAUCAUCAUGCCCCUUAUGACCUGGGCUACAAACGUGAUACAAUGGCUGUUACAAAGGGUAGCUGAAGCGCAAGUUUUUGGCGAAUCUCAAAAAAACAGUCUCAGUUCGGAUUGAAGUCUGCAACUCGACUUCAUGAAGUUGGAAUCGCUAGUAAUCGCGAAUCAGCAU
rnacentral:rRNA from 2 species